AUUUUUCUCCUUUCUACUCCAAGAUCAGUUUCAAUUCAAGUAGAGAAAGGAGGGGAAAAUGACUUUUUUUUUAUUUAUUUACUGAGAAUAUGAUUCUCUUCCUGCCCAUGAGAUAGUUCAGAGUUUUUGUUUUCUUAGCUCAUUUUGUUUAGUUAACAAUUCGAUGCGAUGCUUUGAUCGUGGGUGGUGCUUUUAUUGCUCCCAAACUAUGCUGAACUGGGAAUAGUUUUAAAUCCGAGCUUUAGUUAAUUUUAAGUAAAAAGAGGGGAGAGAAAUGGCACUGCACAUGUUUUUCGUGGACAUAUAGCUUAACAAGAGUUAACAUCUUGAUGCAUUAAGGUUAAUUGUGUUUUUCUUGGCUGCGUUGUUGUGUCAGAAACAGUGGUUUUUUUUUAUAUUAUUUAUCUGCUUAUUAAAUUUUUUUGCCUUAAAGUUUUUUCCUGCUUGAACUUUCCUCUGCCCGUGAGAUCUAGUUUCAAACGUAAGUGUUCUGGCUAUAUCUGGGGUUGAGUCAGUUCUUUUUGUGUGCUGUAAGUUGAAGACAUUUUCAAGUGCUAACCAGGCAACGUUUGAUGUAGAAGUCUGAUUGUAAGAGGUUUUCUAUAUGUUAGGCGAACAAGAUUUUUGCCUUGUAUUUGUGUUACAAUUUGUUAGUACUUCUAUUGAGUUGAUAUAGAUGGAUGCUAUAAACUUUCUGAGGCUUCAAAGAAGCAAAGAAUAUAGAUUAUGUACUUAUUGUUGCUUUACGCAAGACAUUAUUUUUUAAUAUGUAAAAAUUAUUGGGCGUAUUUAUGGUACAUGUUUUUAAAAUGAGGACAUUGGCUGACAUAUAUAUGCUUAAAGUACAACUGAAUUUACUUUUAUUGUUUACUUUGAUUUUAUUUUGUUUUAAUAUAUACUGUCUUGUAUCCUUUUAGUUAUGUAAUUAGUUUCAAGCCCACUUAAAGCUAACCUGAUAUCUUCCUAACUACUUGUUAAAAUAUUGUGUAUAAAGCUAUCUUGAGGAGACAGCUGUGUUCUGUGAUUGUAAACAGUUGUCUCCCACUCCUUGUACCCUAUAUAUAUUUAAUAGUGUGCAAUAAAUUCUGUGGGUUGAAAAUUCAAAUUUCAUGGGUAACUGUUCUGAUCACCGUCCGCCGCCGUCGUCUUUGGCCACCAUUUUUUCCGGCGAAUCCAGGGUUGGGUGCUCCUUGAGGAGUGCGACUCACCCCUGCAAGUCGCGUGGCCACCAUUGUGGAAGGAGUGGACGUCCUCAAUGCACCUAUUGCAAAAGGAUAGGACAUAUUCAAGAAAAUUGUUACUCCAUACAUGGCUUUCCCGACAAGGGCAUGGCAAAAGAUGAAAAGCUGAGCCAAUCGCAUGAAACAUGGAAGCAAGAGAUUGCAAGAAGCCAAUCCCAAGUGGAUGCAUUGCAAAAAGAACUUACAGAGUUAAAGGCUUGCAAUCAGGGUUCAGAUGGAAAUGCAAAAAAGGAUUUGGAGGUUCUUUGGCGAAGAGUCAAGACUGCUUCUACAUUGUUGACUUACCUGAAGUCAAAAGCUAGGCUCAUGGCUGUUCCUCAUCUAGCCCAUACAUCUUGUGGCAUCAAACAAUUAGAGGGGGUAUGCUUUGUUGACAAAAAUGGGAUACCAUUAUCAGGUUGGUCCAGCAAUGUUGAUUUUUCUUCAUUUGAUGACGCAGAUGAAGAAUCUUGGAAUGGAAUUAGCCACCAGCAUGGUUCCUUAGAUGAACAAGAUGCAGCUUACAUAGGUGAAAUGCUCAAGUCUGUACAGAUGGUCACAGAUGUGAUGGAAGCCCUUGUCAAAAGGGUUUUACUGGCUGAGUCAGAAACUGCAAUAGAAAAGGAAAAAGUAAGUAUAAGUAAGGAAGAAAUUAAGCGGAAGUCUACCCAGUUAGAGAACAUGUCUAUGAAAUUACAGGAGAUGGAGCAUUUUGCUUUGAAUACAAAUAGUAUCCUAACUGAGAUGCGGCAGAGAGUUGAGGACUUGGUGGAAGAAACAACCAGACAGAGAGAACGGGCUGCUGAAAAUGAGGAAGAACUUUCUAGAGUGAAGCAGGAAUUUGAGUCUCUGAAAUCAUAUGUUAGCGGUCUAAUAACAGUAAGAGAAACCUUGCUUUCUUCAGAGAAGCAAUUUCGAACUAUUGAGAGGCUGUUUGAAAAGCUAGUUGCAAAGACUACUCAAUUAGAGGGUGAGAAAAUGCAGAAAGAGGCUGAAGUUCAGAAACUUAUGGAAGAGAAUGUUAGGUUGAGUGCACUGCUUGACAAGAAAGAGGCUCAACUUCUUGCAUUGAAUGAACAAUGCAAGGUAAUGGCCUUGAACGCUUCAAACAUGUAAAUGCCAAAGUUUUAUGCUGACCACUGGAGGCACUAAAAAGAAGGUUUAUCCAUAAACAUCGUUAAUGCCUUAAGUUUUAUUUUCUGGUGCCAUUUGUUGUUAAAAUUGAACGCAGAAAAUACUUGUGCUUGGAAUGUAAACUUGGAGUGCUCUUUCAUGGGGAAGAAAAAAAAUGAGGAUGGGGUGUCUCUUUGCUGUAAAUGUUGGAGACCAAAUCACGAACCUCACAUCACAGAUAUCACUGAGUAAUAUUAUAGUAACCAGUUAAUUACCAUCAAUCAAUAGGGAAUACGAUUACAGAGAAAACCGAACAACUUCCGAGGAACCAAACCAACAAAAGCCAACGCAAAGGCAAUUAUCUCGUUGUAUGAAUUGGGUUGGG